AUAUUCUAGUUUCUCUUCAGAUCAUAUAAAUCUUUCAUCUUUUACUAAAGACUUCCAUGGAGAGAAAAAAUUCUGAGUUUAUACCCAAUUUUUUGAGGCCCUGCAUCUGUAGGGCU
ensembl:snRNA U5 U5 spliceosomal RNA